rnacentral:rRNA from 1 species
AAGGACAUGCGAAAGGUCCGGCGUAGAGGGUAAGACCCCCGUAGCUGAAACAUUGACGGCUCACUUGAAUUAUUCCCAAGUAGCACGGGGCCCGAGAAAUCCUGUGUGAAUCUGGCGGGACCACCCGCUAAGCCUAAAUAUUCCCUGGUGACCGAUAGCGGAUAGUACCGUGAGGGAAUGGUGAAAAGUACCGCGGGAGCGGAGUGAAAUAGUACCUGAAACCGUGUGCCUACAAGCCGUGGGAGCGUCGCGCAAGGACUUGUCCUUGCGUCGUGACUGCGUGCCUUUUGAAGAAUGAGCCUGCGAGUUUGCGGUGUGUUGCGAGGUUAACCCGUGUGGGGAAGCCGUAGCGAAAGCGAGUCCGAACAGGGCGCUGUAGUAGCACGCUCAAGACCCG